rnacentral:lncRNA from 1 species
UUCAAACGCGGACGCCCCUUUAACGGCCGGUUGCUGCCGCCGCCAUUGUGUCCAGUCGGCCGUGGUGAGGUGACCGUCGCGGGCUCGUUAUGCGCAGCUUUGGAAGGAGACUGUUAUUGGAAGAAACUAAAUGUACAUUUCUCCGUUAUGAAGACAUCCGACACUGGCCGUUCAGCACCAUCCCACACAUCUUCUCCUCGCGCUGAGACCGGGUUCCCCAUCAUCCGGACCCCGCAGGCGGAUCUCCUGCAGUUCCACUGAUCGAGACCCCGAACCAGCAGAGCUCCGCGCGCCCUCGGACACACACCCCCUUUGAGGUAGGUAACUGAGCACGGGGGACACCCCCCAGGAAGAGGGACGAUGUCGGGUCCACUUU